CGGCAGUACAACACCCUACAGUCCGCCAAGACCAAUUUGCAAAUCCUACUACUGUGAAGGCUUGGCUCAUGAAUAUUAAUCAGGUACCGUGACGUUCGGAGAGCUGAUUGGGUGAAAAGCAGACGUUGAAUAAAGCAUGUGUAAACCAGUUUCCUCUUCAGAAUGAGCAG